CACGUAGGGCGCAAGCGUUGUCCGGAAUUAUUGGGCGUAAAGAGCUCGUAGGUGGCUUGUCGCGUCUGCCGUGAAAGCCCAUGGCUUAACUGUGGGUCUGCGGUGGAUACGGGCAGGCUGGAGGCUGGUAGGGGCAAGCGGAAUUCCUGGUGUAGCGGUGAAAUGCGCAGAUAUCAGGAGGAACACCGGUGGCGAAGGCGGCUUGCUGGGCCAGUUCUGACGCUGAGGAGCGAAAGCGUGGGGAGCGAACAGG
rnacentral:rRNA from 1 species